GCCUGAUGCAGCCAUGCCGCGUGUAUGAAGAAGGCCUUCGGGUUGUAAAGUACUUUCAGCAGUGAGGAAGGGGGUGUCGUUAAUAGCGGCAUCUCUUGACGUUAGCUGCAGAAGAAGCACCGGCUAACUCCGUGCCAGCAGCCGCGGUAAUACGGAGGGUGCGAGCGUUAAUCGGAAUUACUGGGCGUAAAGCGCAUGCAGGUGGUUUGUUAAGUCAGAUGUGAAAGCCCGGGGCUCAACCUCGGAACUGCAUUUGAAACUGGCAAACUAGAGUACUGUAGAGGGGGGUAGAAUUUCAGGUGUAGCGGUGAAAUGCGUAGAGAUCUGAAGGAAUACCAGUGGCGAAGGCGGCCCCCUGGACAGAUACUGACACUCAGAUGCGAAAGCGUGGGGAGCAAACAGGAUUAGAUACCCUGGUAGUCCACGCCGUAAACGAUGUCUACUUGGAGGUUGUGGCC
rnacentral:rRNA from 1 species